AAGGAUAUACCUGUUCCCAUGUCGAACACAGAAGUCAAGCUUCUUAACGCCGAGAGUAGUUGGGGGAUCGCCCCCUGCAAGGGUAGGACGUUGCCAUGC
rnacentral:rRNA from 1 species